AUGUUGAUUGGUUUUGCAACAUAUAUACUAAAAUUGGAAUGAUACAGAGAAGAAUAGCAUAGCUCCUGUACACACAGGAUGAUACACAACUUUGUGAACUAGUCUAUAUUUUU
ensembl:snRNA U6 U6 spliceosomal RNA